AUUGAACGCUGGCGGCAGGCUUAACACAUGCAAGUCGAGCGGGGUGAUGGUGCUUGCACUAUCACUUAGCGGCGGACGGGUGAGUAAUGCUUAGGAAUCUGCCUAUUAGUGGGGGACAACAUCUCGAAAGGGAUGCUAAUACCGCAUACGUCCUACGGGAGAAAGCAGGGGAUCACUUGUGACCUUGCGCUAAUAGAUGAGCCUAAGUCGGAUUAGCUAGUUGGUGGGGUAAAGGCCUACCAAGGCGACGAUCUGUAGCGGGUCUGAGAGGAUGAUCCGCAACACUGGGACUGAGAGACGGCCCAGACUCCUAAGGGAGGCAGCAGUGGGGAAUAUUGGACAAUGGGGGGAACCCUGAUCCAGCCAUGCCGCGUGUGUGAAGAAGGCCUUAUGGUUGUAAAGCACUUUAAGCGAGGAGGAGGCUCUUUUGGUUAAUACCCAAGAUGAGUGGACGUUACUCGCAGAAUAAGCACCGGCUAACUCUGUGUCAGCCGCCGCCGUAA
rnacentral:rRNA from 1 species